rnacentral:tRNA from 1 species
AAACUUUUAGUAUAUUUAGUAUUUUUAAUUGCAAAUUAAAAGGUAAGAAGUUUU